AGUGAACGCUGGCGGUAGGCCUAACACAUGCAAGUCGAACGGCAGCACAGGAGAGCUUGCUCUCUGGGUGGCGAGUGGCGGACGGGUGAGGAAUACAUCGGAAUCUGCCCAGUCGUGGGGGAUAACGUAGGGAAACUUACGCUAAUACCGCAUACGACCUUCGGGUGAAAGAGGGGGAUCGCAAGACCUCUCGCGAUUGGAUGAGCCGAUGUCGGAUUAGCUAGUUGGCGGGGUAAUGGCCCACCAAGGCGACGAUCCGUAGCUGGUCUGAGAGGAUGAUCAGCCACACUGGAACUGAGACACGGUCCAGACUCCUACGGGAGGCAGCAGUGGGGAAUAUUGGACAAUGGGCGCAAGCCUGAUCCAGCCAUACCGCGUGGGUGAAGAAGGCCUUCGGGUUGUAAAGCCCUUUUGUUGGGAAAGAAAUCUUUCAGGCUAAUACCCUGGGAGGAUGACGGUACCCAAAGAAUAAGCAUCGGCUAACUUCGUG
rnacentral:rRNA from 1 species